rnacentral:rRNA from 1 species
AUGGGCAAGUACAUGCGCAAGAGCAAGGCCUCGGGGGAGGUGGCCGUCAUGGAGGUCGCCGGCGCGCUGCUCGGCGUCCGCACCCGCUCCCGCACCCUCGCCGCGCAGCAGCAGCGCGCUCCGUCCCCUUCGCCGCAGCGCAAGGGCCACGAGGACGGCGACUACCUCGAGCUCAGGAGCAGGAGGCUCGAGAAGCAGCCGCCGCCGGGGCCCAAGGACAAGGAGGACGCGCCGCAGCCGCCGGCCGCCGGUGGGAGGAGGAUGGAGCAGGCGCCGUCGUCGUUCGCCGCCGAGGGCUUCGAGGCCGACCUCGAGGUCUCCUUCGGCGACAACGUCCUGGACUGGGACGCCACCGACAGGGGCGCCAGGGAGACGACGCCGUGCAGCCUCAUCUACAGCUCGGAGACGAUGAGCACCCCCGGGUCGGCGACCGGAGGAGCCCGCAACCACUCCCGCCGCAGGGCGCAGACGCCGGUCUGCCGCUACGUGCCGAGCUCGCUGGAGAUGGACGAGUUCUUCGCCGCCGCCGAGCAGCAGCAACACCAGACCUUCAGGGACAAGUACAACUUCUGUCCUGCGAGCGGCUGCCCGCUCCCCGGGCGGUACGAGUGGACGGUGCUAGACUGCUAG